GCUUAGAGUGUUGUUCUCCACAGCCUCCAGAACAGCUGAAGCCAACUUAAAACAAAACAGAGUUAAAUGUCAGCAGAAAAAUACCAAAAUAAAAUACGACAUUAAUUUUACAAGCUGGUCCUCCCUCUGCUUCACUAACUUGGCCGUAGCCACUGCAAAGAGAAGGAAGAAAAGCAUAAAGCACAACCGCGAUUUAACCUUUAAAACGCAAGCCGCUACGACAGGCAGCUCAGUUACAGUAGCAAGGAGGUUCUGCACUAACUGGCUGAGGGCACAACAAUCUCCCAGAUGAGAUGAGAUAUGGAGUGCCCUCCACGGGCAGCCAGUAAGAAGGUCAGAGUUGAGUCUGCUGCGGCUACGAGCGCUAGGGAACAGGCUGCAAUGCACAGCCCACGCUCGGGUCGGUGCCAAGCUGCUCGUGCACAGUUCUCCUUACAAGGACGAUACAGCUCAACCCUCUCCAGAGUCAUGGAAGAUUCUGAGGACUGAAUUCCUUAAACAUUAGCUGGCAGGCUAUUUGGAGACAAACUUCUCACAUAUAAGAUCAAACUAAAAUAUGGCUGUCCUGGCUGGUUGUGUGUCAACUUGACACAAGCUGGAGUUAUCACAGAGAAAGGAGCUUCCAUAAGAUCCAGCUGUAAGGCAUUUUCUCCAUUAGUGAUCGAGGACGGGAGGGCCCAUUGCGGGUGGUGCCAUCCCUGGGCCUGGUAGUCCUGGGUUCUAUAAGAAAGCAAGCUGAGCAAGCCAGGGGAAGCAAACCAAUAAGAAACAUCCCUCCAUGGCCUCUGCAUCAGCUCCUGCUCCCUGACCUGCUUGAGUUCCAGUCCUGACUUCCUUUGGUGAUGAACAGCAAUGUGGAAGUGUAAGCUGAAUAAAUCCUUUCCUCCCCAACUUGCUUCUUGGUCAAGAUGUUUGUGCAGGAACAGAAACCCUCACUGAGACACUGAUCUUACGUUGGAUGCGACUUAUCCACCUGACCCUUUUCAAUGUGCUUCAACCUGCUUGCUUCAUCCUCUACCAACCCUAACCCAGGCACGUUGGCAUUGUCUUUCUGUUUGGUUUAAGGACACGUUUGGUGUUCUGGUUUAGGGUCUAUGUUAGCAGUGAUCUAACAGGGCCUUGUACGGUCAGUGGAGCACUUCCUUGUACGGUCAGUGGAGCACUCUGCUCUGAGCUACACUCUGGCAAGCACCUUUAACAGGGUGUGUAUAGAACUUGGCUUAAACUGAAAACUGAAUCUGGGUCUGCGAAUCAGGCAGCAACCCUCCUCCCACACCUAUCUACACGGCUCACUAAUACAAUGAGGAAAGAUGUUCAGAAUAGCCGUGAUCGUGGUCCUAAUGGAAAAUGGAAAAAUGUUUAAGAUGACAUUUUACAGUAGUAAAAUUACAUGUAGGACAUUAAAAUAUGAAGCCUGACAGUAGGAAGUACAACAGACUCUACUGCAUUUCUAUUAAAAUGAAAACCAUUACCUCACUCUUUGCAAAUGUUAAACAUGGAAAGAUGUCCUCCUGGUAGAUUUUGUCCAGGAAAGGACACGUUCUGUCCAUCGUGGGCUCAUCCUUCCAAGAUCUGAACUCAUUAUACAGCGAUAAAUCAGCCUAACAAACCAAAGCAAUACAAAACAACUUUAAAAAGGAAAAAAAAUAAAAUAAAACAUUUGAUAAAAUGAAACUAAAUUAAACAUUAUUAAAAGGGAAAGUUCUUCAUUUAAAAUAAUAAAAAUUCACUGUCCCAUAAUCCAUGAUAGCAAUCUUCCUCUAGAGAGUGGUUGACUGAGCCUUUCGGGUCCCUACGGUGUGCAAACACGCUGCCCUCAUGACUCUCCACAGACUGCAGCUACUCUUCUCAUCUGAGAUAGGGUCUCGCUCCGUACCCCAAGCUCACCUGGAGCUCACUGUGUGCGCAGGCUGCCCCUCACAAGGCUCCUGCCUCGGCCUGACUGUCAUGCCCAGCAGUACUUGGGCUCUCUGAAGACAAAGGCUGUCCUGAAUGUAAGAAGCGCUGACCAGUCUCUUCUGACAAGUACCCAUCUGGAGACACAUUAACUAGAGAGAGUGAAUAACCUGAGUCUAACCUGGGAAACCUAGUGUGGGGUAAAGAUUCGAGGGGCCGUUCUUAAGUAGACGGUCCCUAAAGGAUGGCUAAAACACCCCCGAGCGUGAGGAACAGGACAAAAGGUGGCAGCGUGCACUCAGCGGCUACACUGAGCACCUUCAAGACUCCCUGAACGGCCCUCAGAUCCCUACCCGUGGGGUUCAGGACAGCCUGCUGCACAUGAGGCACCACCUACACCGGCCCCCACAGAGCGAGCUGUGUCUCCCCCUUGCAGAGCUCUUAGCCACGCUGCAGGUGCUAAACCCCGAUGGUUUUGCACUGAGGGCUGUGAGCCUGGGACAACUUAUUGAGAGGUAAGACCCCACCAAGGAAACAAAAGGCUGCUGCACCCAGGCUCUCUCCAGACUUCAAAGGUGAAUACCGACAAUUUGUUUCUCAUGCCCGUCCCUAAGUUCCUCAAGUCAAAGCUAAAGGAAAGAGGACAAAAAAUAUCAAGAGAGAUAGUACUGAAGAUUUUCAAAUCCUCUUGCUUAGUUCAUCAAGAAAAUGGAACUAAGCCCCAAAGCAGGAGGGGGAUAACGGAAGGGGAGCUUCGAGUGCAGAAGCAGUAAUUCAUCUCUUAAAGGCUGACUCUUGGGGACCACGGUCCCGUGGGCUUGUGCCAAGCACAUACGAUGACCCCCAGUUUAUCGAUAAAAUCAGGACUUAGAUAAAAUAGUUUCCCAAAGUCACAGUGUGCCAGCUUGACACGGCUAGAGCCACCUGAGAGGAGGAACCUCAAUAGAGAUCAAGCCUCAAGAUGAAGCAGCAGGCAAGCAAGCCUGUGGGGCAUUCUCUUAAUUAGCCGUGGCUUCUGCAUCGGCUCCUGCCUCCAGGACCCUGCCCUGCCUGAGUAUCUGCCUGGUGUCGUUUCAACAAUGAACAGUGGUGUGAGACAUAAGCAAAAUAAACCCCUUUCCCCAACUUGCUUUUGGUCACGGUGUGUCAUCUCAGCAGUGAUAACCCUAAGACACACAGUUAAGUCCAAAUUCAAGCCUAACUUUUUAGAUCCCAAAGCCUUGUACCAAGAGCACAUCCACACCAGUAUUAAAGCUUUCAGAAAAACACUUCUAUGACUGGGAGACCCACCGCAGUUUCUAGAGAAACACAGACACUCUCCAUUUCCAUUCAGGGUGUUAUACAGUGUCCCAGGGCAUAUUUCAGUCAACAUUUCUUGUUUGUAUAAUAAAACUUGCUGACAUUUUCACACAGUAUCAGGCUAGAAAGUGUGGCUAGAAUACUCAAGUAGGAACAUGUUGCCUAUUUCAUACAUUUCAAAACACAAGAGAGGCUUCUGAAGUACUGAGAAACCACCUGAAAAAGCUUUCCUACAAGCAACGGGAGAAAACGCUUUACACUUACUAACUCAAAAGUGACAAUAGAAGCUAACCUUUUAGAAACAGCACACUUAUUUAAAGUUAGAGAAAUCAGAAUUAAAGCAGUGACUAAAGGAGUAUAUUAGAUACUUAACAAAAACAAAUAUGAAUUUUAGGUUUUGCUGCAUUCAGAUCUGGAUGAGAAGUAAAAAGCGCAGACAGCCGCUUGCUUCAGUAUGAACUGGCUUAAAACUCACAGUGCCUGAAGCUCCAGGAAGCCUUGGGCAAUGCCCUACAAACACUUUACACCACACAUGACGGUAAAACCAGCAGUGUUUAAUAAUGCCGUAACUCUUACUUUACACAAUUCGAUAAACAGCAUCUAGGCUAUCUUUGUGCUUUCUAAAAUGCAAGGCUUCAAUUAUUUCUGGGUUCUGUUUGUUUUCUUAAUUAUCUGACUCAACUCUAGAACUUUCUAUCAAUGGAAAAUUUUGCUUCUCUCAGAUUUCAAAUAAAAAGAGCUACUAGUAAUCUUUAGGAAAAUCAUCAUAUUUUCACAUUUCUUAUUCGUACUUUAACACUGCACUAACAGAACGUCGUGACUAGUGGGGGACCCCCUUAGGCACCCACUUUCCUUUACACAACGCAUGCCACUUUAUUCCCUAGAUGGAAACUUGAAAUGCAGAGACUCCUGCUGCAGAUGCUCUGAGGCCAAGUGGGAUGGGGGUGGGAUGGGGAGGGUCCUUGAGAGCAGCCAGCCCUAGCAACAGCCUCCCCAUCCUAACACUGAUAUUCUGUGCUAAAGAAGUCUGCUGGCCACCUCAGUGAUGGCGAUCAACAGGAGGGACAGGUCAGAGGGGACAGUCCUCUCUGCAGGAGUUACCUCUUUGC